GNAUUUAUUGGGCGUAAAGGGAGCGCAGGCGGUCAGGAAANUCUGGAGUAAAAGGCUAUGGCUCAACCAUAGUGUGCUCUGGAAACUNUCUGACUUGAGUGCAGAAGGGGAGAGUGGAAUUCCAUGUGUAGCGGUGAAAUGCGUAGAUAUAUGGAGGAACACCAGUGGCGAAAGCGGCUCUCUGGUCUGUCACUGACGCUGAGGCUCGAAAGCGUGGGUAGCGAACAGGAUUAGAUACCCUGGUAGUCCACGCCGUAAACGAUGAGUGCUAGGUGUUAGGCCCUUUCCGGGGCUUAGUGCCGGAGCUAACGCAAUAAGCACUCCGCCUGGGGAGUACGACCGCAAGGUUGAAACUCAAAGGAAUUGACGGGGGCCCGCACAAGCGGUGGAGCAUGUGGUUUAAUUCGAAGCAACGCGAAGAACCUUACCAGGUCUUGACAUCCCGAUGCUAUUCUUAGAGAUAGGAAGUUACUUCGGUACAUCGGAGACAGGUGGUGCAUGGUUGUCGUCAGCUCGUGUCGUGAGAUGUUGGGUUAAGUCCCGCAACGAGCGCAACCCUUAUUGUUAGUUGCCAUCAUUAAGUUGGGCACUCUAGCGAGACUGCCGGUAAUAAACCGGAGGAAGGUGGGGAUGACGUCAAAUCAUCAUGCCCCUUAUGACCUGGGCUACACACGUGCUACAGUGGUCGGUACAACGAGUUGCGAGCCGGUGACGGCAAGCUAAUCUCUGAAAGCCGAUCUCAGUUCGGAUUGGAGGCUGCAACUCGCCUCCAUGAAGUCGGAAUCGCUAGUAAUCGCGGAUCAGCACGCCGCGGUGAAUACGUUCCCGGGCCUUGUACACACCGCCCGUCACACCACGAGAGUUUGUAACACCCGAAGUC
rnacentral:rRNA from 1 species